rnacentral:lncRNA from 1 species
AAGGAGCUGAUCUCCUUUGGAAUGCUCUGUAAUGGUUGUUGUCAAGUCUUUCUGACUUUGUGCAUCAUCAUUACAAGAGGAUCAAUGCAUAUAAGUUUAGAAUCUAAUAGAUUUCAGUAAAUGGCAUGAAUUUGGAAUUCUUGCAUUUGCAGUAAGGAUUUGGGACUGUGAAAAGAGGAUCAUUGGAGUUAUGUUCAAUUGAUCUUUUUCACAAAGUAAAGAUCAUAGACAAACAUAGUAUGCAUACUUGGUGUAUGGCAUGACUAGUGUUUAGAAAACAUAGUGUACAUGCUUGGAGCAUGGGACAACUAUUGUUUUAAAUUCAAGAAUAAAGUUGAUAGCUGAAACAGUAUACAAUGAAUAAUGUGUAAUCAUAUGGUGAUAAAUAAAAGGUGUUUUAUUUAUGUUCAUAGGUUUUGAUACCAUAUUGGAUUCAAUUAUUAUUGUGUUUCACUUUGCAUGUUUUGACUUCCCGAAUAAACUGGGUUAUUCUUCCGGAAUGACUAAGUUAUUCAAACCAUCCACAGUCGGUCAUAUGUUGGAAGUAGAUAUGAAUUAAGACUGUCAUGGGUUGGCUUGUAGAGGUCUAAGGUGUUGGACAAAGGGCUACAACACUCAUGAGUGCUCAUAAGUUCUGAGUAUUGGAUUCAACCCGCGCUCAUUGGAAUCACUUCAUGGAUUUUAUCACGAGUGAUCAUGAGACGAUAAUAUCUUAUAUUCUUCAAACCUAGAGAUAUGAGUUGUUACUAUGAGUUGAUAGUACAUUGAUUGCACGAAAACGCAUUUGGUAACUCGGUGCUAUAAAACGUGCCUUUGUGUAUGAUUCAACAAGUAGUAGAACAAGCCAUAUGAGUCGAAGUUUAUCCAUUCCUUUUACCUUCGGGAUAAAAGCGAUAUCUGUGGGCCCCUCGAUGAUUUGAUGAUGACAAAUGGAAGUGCUCGGCCGGGCCAGGACUGAUUUGAUUUGUUCAAUUAGUCAGUCGUCAUAAAUCGGAAAUCGGGAAACAACAAAUGGACAGAGAGAAUGAUUAUAAUCCAUGUCUCAGUCCAUAUGAUAUCUAGAAUGGAGGAAUAUAUGAUCCCUUAUCUAAUGGACAAGUCAUUGACAAAGGUCAGAGUUCAUCUACAAGGUCAGAGUUCGACAGAAGCUUUUGAGAGCUACGAUUGCCAGUUGGUUCCUGAAGUCAUACGCAAUAAUAGUUUUAGACUUAUCCAAGUGGGAGACUGUUGGAUUAAUGUCUAAGUCCAUAACUAUAAUUGGUAAGACUUGACCCGACCCGGCAUGGUCCAUUUGGGUUGCAUACCAUCAUGCACUUGGAUAGACUAUAAUGAGAGAAAUAAGACACUUAUGGUUAUUAAUAUAUUAUAAGUUCUAGUAUAUUAAUAAUAAGAAUAAUAAGAUUAUUUAAUUAGUAUUGAUCAAGAAUUAAUAUAGGAUUAAUUAAGUGAUCAAAAGAAGACUAAUUAAAUAUAUGGGUUGAUUGUGUAAAUCAUCCAUACUUAUAUAGUGGGCUAAUGCUCCAUGGAUUGUCAAAUUGGGCUAAAACCCAUAAGAUGCUCCAUGGUGUAUAUGUACCCAUGGAUCAUGGAAAUGAAAGGCCAUGACAAUUAGAGUUUACAUGGUGUAACCCUAACUAUAUAAUGAUCUUAUUCUUGGAGAAAAUCGGCCACUAUGAGUGAUAGAAAUGGCUAGCCGAUUUUAUGAAGUGUUCCAAUUUCUCUCAAGUCAUUCCAUGUGUAUUUGGUGUUGUGUGAACCAUUUGAGGUGUCACACUUGAGGCACUAGGCACUCAAGCUUCAUGAAUACUUUCUACAUCAAAGAGGUAUGUAAUUCUAAUUUGAUAUAUUCAUAUGAAUCAUGUUAUUAUGCUAGUUAGGAUGAAUACCUUGGAAAGUUCAUAUUUGCAUGUAUAAUAGAGAAAACAUAGAUCCAAGGUAUUUAGGGUUUCAUGUACACUUAGGAGUGUUAGAAUGCUCAAUACCCAACAGUUAAGUGGUUAGUAGAGCGUGUAUGCUUAACCGGCACACUAAUCUGGGACCGUCAAUGUGUGGCAAAGGGUAGCUUGAUGUUAAUCAUAGAUCAAUGGAGUGUGUGUGGUUAACCAGCACAUUGAUUAGGUGAUUUGUAACAUGGGGUGUACCAAACUAAUUUUCAUGGUUAUUCACACCUUAUUUGUGAUGCUCGGCAUCCCAGUCACAAACUUGAAGGGCACAAUCGAUAUUUAAACAUGCCAUUGAAAAGUUCAAUGAAUAUCAAAGGAUCUAGGAAUUUCAAAUCCAAUUAAAACUUAAUAAUCUAUUUCGUUUUUCAUGGUGGAAAUUUGUAAAUCGUCAUUUACCUACCUUCAAAUAUUUUACAAUUGGAUUACAAAAUCCCUCUUCACAAUUGUAAAAUAUUGUGUUGGGUCCUUGCCUUAAUAUUUCAUUUUGGGUGUUAUAUUAAGGACUUAAAUCAGCUAACUUGACUUUCUCCCUUUAUAGAUGUCUAGGUCAGACAACUAUGGUCUUCUCGAAUCUCUUGGAAAAGGCUUUCCACAUGAAGAUGAUAUUCCACAAUAUCAUACUUCACUUCCUCCACCUCCUCCAAUUAUUUUCCCUAACUCACAAGCUCGAUGACUUGAAAAGUUCAAGGUCACUCAAGCCCUACUAGAAAUGAAAAUCAAGACGGAAAGUCUAUAUGUGCUCAUGUCUUGGACAUGAAGCUGCAUAUUAACAGGUUGGGAAUGUUGGGUGUCGUGUUCCCGAGGAAGUUGGCUAUUGACUUGGUUCUUCAGUCACUUCCCAAAUCAUAUAGUGAGGUCGUUAAAGACUACUAUGUGACAGAUCACGACAUGACCCUUAUUAGUCUUGCCUAUUUGCCGAUUGUUGUUGAAUCAACAAGGAUUUGGCGCAAUGAUAAAGCAAACAUGAUUGGAAGAUCUACUUCCCAAGUUGCCAUGGACAUCGACAAUGGAAACAUUGGAAGUCUAGAAAAGAUUUCUCUUUCCACGGAAAGGCAAAGGCUAAGCAUGAGAUUGCCCCGUGUACCAUUCCCAAUGAGUCCAUAUGUUUCUAUUGCCAAGAGAAGGGACAUUGGUUGUGAAGCUUCCCGGACUACCUGAAAGAUCUAAGAGAAGGUAGAAUCAAAAAGGUUUGACUCUGCUUCAGGUAGGUCCUCUAUCUAACUCUAUUAAGUUCCUAUUGGUAGAUUCUUAAUACAUGAUGUGAUAAGAUUACAUUUUUGAUGUUUUGUAGGAUCAAUGGAAGCUUAAAGGAAAGGCAUGCCAAGUCUGAUCGCGAAGAGAUGGAUUUCGAUCGCAUGGUUUGAUGAUCGGAUUUUUGAGCUUCUGCUUAAGAGUUAUGAUAGAUUGCUUAGAAAUUUUUAAUAACAUAGUUUUCAUUUGUAAUUGUAUUGUAAGGAAAAUUUUUUCCACACAUUUUUUAAAAUAAAGAAAAAUUUUGAUUUUAUCUUAUUUUAUAUUUCCUUGCAAUGGCAUAUGUGAAAAUUGAUGUUUGUAUUUUUAGCAAUAUGGACUUGAUUCUUUCAUUUGUGAUAGUGUAAAGAUUCUCAUCACCCAAGUUUCAUUCGGACAGAAACUUGGAUCAUGCAACUUGUAUUGUAUGUUGAAUGAGAACCUUCGUCUUUGGGAAAUUAAGACUAAUUCCUUGUUCACAUGUAUGUGUAAGUCAAGUGAAGGACUAGGGGAUCGGGUACACUUGGUUGUGCGCUGGUCAAGUCCAUCACAAAGAAUGAUAAGACUAUUUGUCAUGAUUUUCUAAUGUUAGUAAAUACGGUUAUGCUUAGAAGAUUAAGUAUAAUUUUGAGUCAUUGAAAAGUCUCAAUAUAUAGCAGACCGAAUAAGAAGAAUCAAAGUCGGCAGAAAGAUAAAAGUUUUUCCAAUCUGAAAAGAUGGGAUAGUACUUGAGUGUAAUGUUUUAUGAUCAUUAUGAAAACCAUAUCAGAAUUUGAUCCUCUAAGGACACCUUAGUGCAUUUGUUUGGCUAAGAAGAGGAAUCGGGAAUUGUUAAAAUGGUUAAACCAAUUAAGAUGAAUCAUACUUCGUUCCAAAAUCAAAUCUUAGAGUCAUCCUCCAAGAUUGUAUAUUGAGUGGCAUAUCAACAAAUGUAGAGUAAAAUGUUUUCUACUCUUGUACAUUUGAAAUUGGUAAGUUGUAAUGUUUUGGAUAAAACAAAGAUCAACUAAGACCGAUUGUCAAAAGUGUUUUUCUUGAUAAGAAAUCACACUAACUUUUGAAUAUUUGUUUAUCAAACAAUGUUUCUUUACAGAGAGAUACUUAUAUGUCAAGAGGUCAGUGGGAGUCGUAAAGAUCUUGAAAAGUUUUAAGAACUAAUCAAGAGUCAAACCUAUUGUUAAUCACUAGCACACGACUUGAGGUUUGUAACCUAUCGUGUUUGACAUAUUAUUAUUUUUGUGCCCAUUCCAGUUGGUUGACUAUGCAUGUGAGUUCUAUGAGUUCUCAAUUGUUUGCAUUACAGCCUGGAAGCAAUGGUAGGCCCUUGUGCUGCCAGGUGGCAAGGAAUUAAGAUUAGAUAAGUUCAGUCCAUAUGAGUUUGGAUUUGUCACUAACCUUGUCUUAAGAUUAUGGUUAUGACAAAUUCACAUCGAUAGGAACACAUACACCAUAAAAAAAAUCUAAGUGUCAUAAGGUUUCUCUCCAAUUCAUGAAAAUGAUUAUGAGGAAACGCUUUCACUAAGUAGAUUUUAAAGAGUUAGCAAUUGUGAUAUUUGCAUUCUCGAAUUCCAUUAUGAUUAUGGUAUCCCUCUUCAUAGUUCGAAUUGUGAGAAAUAGAAAAAUGUCUAAACAUUUGAUACUUAUUGAUGUAAGUUCUAAAAUUGUUUAGACACACAUAUGAGCUUUCUAAUAAAAGGUGUGUGGGCUUAGAUAAAGGCUUAUCGAAGCAUCUCGUGUCAGAAAUAUGAAAUUUGGUAAGGAAGUCAAUAAAGUAUUGAUUUCUAGAAGUCCAACUGAUUUCUGGAUUUAUGUCACAGCUAGUGGGAGCAUGAAUGUUAUGCAAGUAACAAAAUAAUUGUUAUGCUAGUGGGAGCAUAAUUAUUAUGGUAGGUGUUGCAAGGUAGCAAUGUUAAUUAUAGAAAAUAAAGGUUUCAAUUCGCAAAAUUACAAGCUUAAAAAGUUUUUUGCUAUAAUUAAAGGAGAGAAACUUAUACUUCAUUUCAAUUAUAAAAGUUUAGAUUGAGAUUUUAAUUAAAUUUAGUCAAGGAUUUAUAUGAAUACCAUGUUGAAAUGCUUCAACAUUGGAAAUUUUAUAUAUGGAAAUAUUAUAGCAAAAGACUGGUCAAGUAUCAUGUCUUUAUGUAAGACAUUAUGAAUCGUAUCCCAUAUGCUUCAGGUAUAUGAUCGAUUGCAUAUGUUAUAAUAGUCAUGUGUUCUAAUUUUCCAAACGCCUAGGGCAUUAAUAGGGAAAAAGGAAUAGAAGUGGAUAUGAUUAAAGUGGUUAAACAAUUGUUAAGGACAAUCUAAGGUUCGCCAAGGAUUGGUCACUUAUGGGCAGUUGGAAGUAUAGUAAUGAAUGGACCAUAUUCACAUUACUAUUGCAAAACAGGAUUCUAUUAAUAAUGAGUUGUCGUAUGGAAAUGUUCCCAUAAUGCGAGUUGAAUAUUAAGAAUCUAUGUGUAGGUUCAAAACUUUUAUGCAAGAAGGAUGUUCAAAGGAAUGUGCUUUAAAUAUGAGACUUUGGAUCUAUGGAAUUGUCUUGUAACAAUCUCCAAUGGAAAGUUUUUGUAAUUGACAAAGUCUCUAUGACUUGUGUACACAGUCACUACAAAAGGAUCACUACGUAUAAGUUUAGAAUCUAACAAAUUACAUUAAGUUGCAAGAACUUGGUGCUCUUACACUAACGAUAAGGAUUUGGAAUUGUGAAAUGAGUAUCAUUGGAAAUGUUUAAAAUUGAUUUAUUUCACAAAGUAAGGACCAUAGGUAAAUAUAGCAUGCAUGCUUGGAGAAUGGGAAAACUAUUGUUUUAAUUCAAGUAUUAGUUGAUAAAUCAAAACAAUAUACAAUGAAUAAUGUGUAAUCAAUAUGGUGAUUAAAUAAAAGGUGUUUUAUUUACACUCAAAAGUUUUUGGGCCAUAUAGGAUUAGUAUUAUCCUUGUGUUUCACUUUGCAUGUUUUGACUUCCCGAAUAAUAAGAUUAUUCAAACUAUCCACAGUCGAUCAUACUUUGGAUGUAGGUAUGAAGCAAGACUGUCAUGAGUUGGCUUGUAAGAUUAUCUAAGGUGUUAGACAUAGCAAAAUUCUGCUACACCAUUCAUGAGUGCUUGUGAAAUAAGAUUUGAGCAUUGUAUCAACCUGCACUCACCUGAACCACUUCAUGCAAUUUAUCACGAGUGAUUGUGAGAUGAUAAUAUCAUAUAGUCUUCAAAAUAAGACAUAUGAGUUGUUGACUACGAUUUGGUUGUGCAUUGAUGAUACGAAAACACAUUAGUAACUUGAUGUUAUAAAACGUAUCAUUGUGCAUGACUUAAUGAGUAGUUAGUACAAGCAUAUAAUGUCGAAAUUUAUCUGUUCCUUUUAUCCUAAGAGGAUUAAAAGUGAUAUCUUGGGCCCCUCAAUGAUUCUGUUUUGACUAUGCGGGCCCGGUCAGAACUAAAUUGAUAUGUUCAGUUAUGUUCUAUGUCAGACAAAUCGGAAAUCGGGAAACAAAUUGUAGGACAAUAAGUAUGACUAUGUUCCAUGUGUUUGUCCGCAUAGAUAUCUUGAGAAUAGAGGAAUAUAUGAUCCCUUAUCUGAAGGACGAGUCACUGACCAAGUCAGAGUUCGACAACAGCUUUUAAAAGCUUUCGAUUGCUAAGUCAGAUCCUGAAGGUGCAUUGGUAGGAAUAUUUAUUAGACGUAUCCAAGUGGGAGACUGUUGGAUUUGGUGUCUAAGCCCAUAACUAUAAUUGGGAUGUACUUGACCCGAUUGUAGCAUGGUCCUUUUGGGUUGCCUUCACCAGUGCAAUUUGAUAAGAUGAACUUUUGAGAAUAAGGUUAUUUAUGAUUUAUUAUAUAUUACAAGUAUAAUAUAUUAAUAUGAAAUCAUAUUAUUAUUUAAUUAGUAUUGAUCAAGCAUUAAUUUGGAAUUAAUUUUGUGGUCAAAAGAGACUAAUUAAAUAUAUGGGGAUUGAUUAUGUAAAUCAAUGAUUCUUAUAGUGUGGGCCAAUGAUCCAUGAUUAUGUAUAUGGGAUAAACCAAUGAAAUAAUCCAUGGAUAGUCCAUGGAGAUUAAACCCAUGGAGCAUAAGAAUGUGAAAGUUUAUUAGGGUUUGCAAACAUGUAACCCUAGCACUAUAAAUAGAACCAUCAUGAACCAAAAUUGGUUGCACCUUCUUAGUGAGCUAAGCAACUUAUUCUCUUAAGCCACCUCUUGCAUAUUGGUGUUUGUGAACCAUUAGAGGCAUCACACAUGGGGUGCUCAAGCUUCAAAGGCCAAGAACUACAAGUCCUUCAUAAAGGUAUGUCACUUAACUAGUUGUAUCAUUCAAUUGUUCAAAUGUAUGCUAGUUAGGACAAUGCUUUGGAACAUUGUAAAUAUGCAUGUAUAAUUAGAGAAAACAUAGAUCCAAAGCAUUUACGGUUGCGUGGGCACCAUAGGAGUGUUAUAGUGCUCAAAACCCAUCAAUGUCUGUCCGUACCAAAGCACGAGCUGAGUUACUUGCAAGCUAUCAGCUUCAAUUCGAAGAGGGCCUCCAGGUUUUGAAACAACUUCGCCAGAUUUUUGACCAAAUGGAAAGAAAAGUGAAGGAGCUUCAUGAGAAAAUGUUUGUUUUAUCUAAAAGGAAUCAACUUUUGGUCUCUUAUUUGAGUGAGAAUUUAUGUCAUCAACAAGAGUUAAAAAGGUUGAAUGAGGAUCUCCAUUGAAAAGUGAUGAUGCAAUUAGCAAUCGUGUUGUUGCGAUCAAAGUGCUUGAAGAAGUUUCCCAAAAAAUUUAGUCAUUGAAGUUCCAAUAUAGUGAAAAGGUAUCAUAACUGGAGAAUUCGUUUUCAGGCAAAGAUGUUAGUAUUAAAUUGCUCGAAGAAGAAGUAGCUGCUACCAAAGCUUUAAGAUUAGAUAAAGACGCUUGAAUUGAUUGCUUUGGUGAAUCCUAGUCAUUUUCCAUAAUUUGAGGAUAAGUUAUGGAGUCAUUAAAAUUCAUCUAGAUCAUUUUUCUAAUAACUAAAAUUAUCCCAUAAUCUAUGAUCUAACUAAACUCAUAAUCAAGAUACUUUCAAGUCAACAAUCUGAAAGCAAUUUUGUUUAUCAUAUAAAAACAACAAUUAUUUUAAAACUUUGACAAUUAUCUUGUGGGUUGAUGAGUACAAGCACUACCAUAUCAUAAAAAACAUUUUCAAUGAUCCAUAACAGUUUGUGGUAGUGUUCCCAGUCCAAACCAAGCCAAGAAACUCGAAAUUCUGCAAACAGAGUCUUCACCUCGUCGAGUGCCUGAACUGGACUCGGCGAGUUGCUCUGUUACUGAGUGGACUCGUCAAGUGUGUUCAUGGACUCGGCGAGUUCACCAGCCAGAGGCCAAAAUUUUGACUUUUUCAGCUUUGAAAAACUAGUAAGCAUCACAUAUAAUAGAAAACAAUCUUAGGCUCUGAUACCACUGUUGGGUUUUGAGCACUAUAACACUCCUAUGGUGCACAUGCAACCCUAAAUGCUUUGGAUCUAUGUUUUCUCUAAUUAUACAUGCAUUUUGUUUUUCUAAAGCAUUCACCCUAGCUAGCAUACAAUUGAAGCUUUACAAUAAAAACUUAGUUUGAAUGCUUACCUCUUGAGUGUGGUAGAGUUCUUGACCUUGGAAAGCUUGAGCACCUCAAGUGUGAUGCCUAUAAUGGUUCACAAACACCAAUAUGCAAGAGGAGGCUUAAGAGAAUAAGUUACUUAUCUCAAAGAGAUGGUGUAACCAAUUUUGGCUCAUGAUGGUUCUUAUUAUAGUGUGGCAAAUGCUAGGGUUACACUUUGUAAACCCUAAUGCUCCAUGACUUUUCACAUUUUUAUGCUCCAUGGGUUUAACCUCCAUGGACUAUCAGUGGAUUAACUUAUUGGUUUAGCCCAUCUAGAUAAUCAUGGAUCAUUGGCCCAUACUACAAGAAUCAUUGAUUUACAUAAUCAAUCCCCACAUAUUUAAUUAGUGUCUUUUGACCACCAAAUUAACUCUUGAUCAAUACUAAUUAAAAAAUAUGAUAUUAAUAUAUUAUACUUGUAAUAUAUUAAUAAAUCAUAAAUAACCUUAUUCUCAAAAGUCCAUCCUAUCAAAUUGCAUUGGUGAAGGUAACCUAAAAGGACCAUGUUACUAUCGGUUCAAGUACAUCCCAGUUAUAGUUAUGGGAUUACACACCGAAUCCAACAUUUACAUGUUCAUCUAGUCUCUAAGGUCCAGAUCUCUGUUUGUACACCCUAUCUUGAAGUAUUGAUGACUUUUGGAUCAAGAUCAAGAUCUUUUAGAGUUAGGGUUUGAGCUAAUUAUCUUGGGGUAGGGUAUUAGUGGGUAAAGUUGGAAACUUUACCCUUUUAAGGACAUUUACAGUCUAUAUCUAAAGUAUGGAGCUUAGAUCUGAAGAUUAGUAACUUAAUAUACUAAGAUAGCUUAACAGACUGAAGAACUCGAAGCGUUCAGAGAGGAACUCGACGAGUUAGGUCGAAGUGCCCCGAUUCUAAAAAAGGAAAGACUCGACGAGUUCAGGACAGACUCGACGAUUGGACUUGGAAAGUCUCGAUUCUGUUGAUAGGAGAAACUCGAAGAGUUUGUGAAAAAAUCGACGAGUUGGGUCAUGAUUUUAGGGUUUUAUGAUUUAUGGAACUCGGAGAGUUGAGUCAACCCAGAAUGUUGACUUUGAUCAGGGUGUUGACAUUGACUUUGACCUGGACUUUGACCAAGGUUGACACAUGAAGGACUUUUGGGUAUGGAAUGAUAUCUAAAGGAUUAUUUGAUUUUUACUAAUUGUUAUAGUGAUAAUUGAUGGGUUUUGGUCAUAAGACAUCCUAUGUGCUCAUAUAAACCCUAAUGCUUGGAUCUAGGUUUCUCUAUUGUACAUGCUUUGAAUCCAAGACUAUAAACCCUAAUUCUAGCAUAUGGAAAUCAAUAUUAACAUAUAAAUGGGUUUAAGAACAUACCUUGAUUGUUAUAUAGCAAUAACAAUCCUAAUCCUCCUUGAAUUGACUUUGGAAGGCUUAGAGUCACAAGUGUCACUCCUCUAAUGGUUUACAAACACCAUAAGCAAGUGGAGAAGGUAUAAAGAGAGAGGAGAGAGGUAGGAAUUCUUCCUUAGGACUUCUUGGGAAGGCAUAGACGAAUUCAUGAGCCUUAGGGGGUUUAUAUAGGUGUAAAGAUUAGGGUUUUAGUCCUUAUCCUUAUCUAGUUGCUUGCCCACCAAGUAACCAUAAGAUAAGUCUUAGAAAAACCCUUAUCUCUUGGCCUUGAACGAUUUCAAGGAUAUCCUUAUCCUUGAAUUCGUCCAUCCUUUAAUAAGGAUAACCAUUGCCCUAUUUUGCAACUAUCACAUAAUUACAAUUCAGCCCCUCUAGUUUAAUUAAUUACACUUGAUCACAAAAUUAAUUCUUAAUUAAUUAUUGACCAAUAUUAAUUAAACAAACAUGAUUUCUCCUUUAAUAUUUAUUCUUAUAACAUAUUAAUAAAUCAUAAUAACCUCUCUCUCUUUAUUUAUUUCUCCAAUCAAGUUGCUUUGGUGAAGGCAACCCAAAAGGACCAUGCACCAUCGGGUCAAGUACAUACCAAAAUAGUUAUGGACUUAGACACUAAUCCAACAAUAAUGAUAGCCGCGAAGUCGUUGGAGUAGCCGUUAGAGAUUCCUUCCCGUGAGAUUUUGCAUUCAGCUUUGCGAGGUGAGUUUCCUCCUGUAGGAAUGAUUUGAAGGCACCAAUGUUGGCCCGUUUGUGUAUGCUAGUAUGUUCCGGACUAAGGUCCGAUGCCGGGAAGUGCCCAAUGUAGGUUUAUAUGUUUUCGGACUUCGGGCCAAUGCCGAGGAAAGCACGAGUUCAAAGAGGAACUCGAUGAGUUGGGUCGAAGUGCCCCGAUUCUAAAAAGGAAACACUCGACAAGUUCAGGACAGACUCAACGAGUGGAGUUGGAAAGUCCCGAUUCUGUUGAUAGGAGAAACUCGAAGAGUUCGUGAAAAACUCGACGAGUUGGGUCGUGAUUUCAGGGUUUUAUGAUUUAUGGAACUCAGCGAGUUGAUGGACCAACUCGGCGAGUUGAGUCAACCCAAAAUGUUGACUUUCACCAGAGUGUUGACUUUGAUCAGGGUGUUGACAUCGACUUUGACUUGGACUUUGACCAAGGUUGACACAUGAAGGACUUUUGGGUAUGGAAUGAUAUCUAAAGGAUUAUUGGAUUUUGACUAAGUGUUAUAGUGAUAAUGAUAGUCGAGGCGUUGUUGGAGUAACCGUUAGUGAUUCCUUAUCAUGAGAUUUUGCAUUCAGCUUUGUGAGGUGAGUUUCCUCCUGUAGGAAUGAGUUGAAGGCACCAAUGUUGGGCCGUUUGUGUACGCUAGUAUGUUCCAGACUAAGGUCCGAUGUUGGGCAGUGCCCGAUGUAGGUUUAUAUGUUUUCGGACUUCAGGCCGAUGUCGGGGAAAGCCCGAGGAAUGUUUGUAUGCUUGAUAUCUUUGUGAUUCUUGCAUGUGUUUGUUUUAUAUGUUCCCGGACUUCGGUUUGAUGCUGGGGAAAGCCUGAGGAAUGUUUGUAUGCUUCCGGAUUUCAGUCCGAUGUCGGGCGGGGCACGAGGAAUGUUUAUAUGCUUAUGUUAUGUGAUUAUGUUUAUAUGUAUUUUUUUUAUUUCUUUAUAUGUAUACCGAGCUUUGCUCGAUGCCGAGCGGGGCUAGGUGCUAGAUUUCGAUCUGAUGCGGAGCGGGGCCCAAUGUCGGACUUGUUUGAUGCCGAGCGGGGCCCGAUGUAGCGGGCAAGGCACAUGUUAUGUUAUUAUAUGAUUAUGUGAUUAUGUGUAUGGUAUGUGGUAGUUUGGGGAGACUCACUAAGAUUCGUGCUUAUAGUUUUCAGUUUUGGUUUCAGGUACUUCCGGUAGCAAGGCGAAGAGCUCGAGAUGACUGCAGAGCACGCACCAUGUUUAUAGUGUGAGAUGUUUUUACUCUUAUAUAUUUGGAAGAUGAUUAUAAUGUUUUGAGAUAUAAUGACUUAUGAUUUUAUGUGAUGAUUGGAUAACUAUGGUUUUAUUAAUAACUAAAUGAAAAUUUUGGACCGUAUUUUUGGGAUGUUUAAGUUGGUGUCAGAGCCUUGGUUUGAGGGAUUCGGGCAUGCUCUCGGGUAUGUCUGGACUCAAACUGAGGACUUGGUAUAAAAUUUUAAAAAGAAAACCUUUUUUAAAAGGAUUUUGGAAAUGAGAAAAAAGGUGUGGUGCAUGCAAUCAGUCGAGCUCAAGUAAGUUCUCCCAAAUUAUCCAUACAAGUUUGUUUUGUUAUGAUUAUGAGAACUGAAUGCUAAGUUAGGGCUAAGGAUCUAGGAAUGAUGCCUUUUAUGCAUGUUAUAUGUGUAUGAGAGUUGCAUGCUAGUUUAGGGCUAAAGAUCUAGGAAGGAUGCCUUAUAUGCAUGCCAUAUGAGCUUAUUGAACUGUAUACUAGUACUGAUUAGUCAGUAAUAUGAUGACCUGAGUAGGAUAGGCUUGAUUAUGGUUACUCAAUGCUCGAAUGCUACUUGCUUUGUGUUUUUAGGAUUCCUAGUUAUCUUUAACUAACUAGUAAACGAAUAUGUUAAGUACAUAUUACGAGUACUAAGUAAUUUCAGAAGGUUAGGUUUAUCUCUAUUUCGGAUUUCUCGUUUGAGUCUAACCGUUGUAGGCUAAGACCUUUCAUUCGAAUAAUUAUCUAGUCUUAGUGAUAUGUAAUGGUAUUCGCGAGAUAGCCAGGGGAGAUAGCAGGGACUUCUUAUGCAACUGAUGGCUGAGAGUGAGUUGGCGUUUACCUUAGGGCAAUCCUAGGAUGAGAUUAACGUGUGAAGUCGUAGUAGUAAAAGGGACUUCGUGGAGUCAAGUCAGUUCUUAAGGAAAGUACGGAUAGAUGUGGUAGGUAGUCUGGGCCCAUACUAUUGAAAGAAAAGGAUCCAUAAUCGAAUCAAGGAAGGCUAAGAUGAACCCAGGAGACUUGUAGUAUGUGAGAUCUCUCGAGUUAUGAUGAGUAUUUUGAUGUUUGUUAUGGUGCAUUUUCAGUAUGGUGACGUUGUGCACUAGACCAGUUGGCAGUUCAAGUGCCAGUGAGGGAUCAAGCUUGGGCUCUGGAGCUGGGCAGCUCGACGAGCAGAUGAGAGAGUUCAUUUCAUCUGAGGUCACGUGCAGUAUUUUAGACCAAACUCAUGUGAUCUUCGGUACGGUCAAGGAGGGAAUCUUGGAGAUACUUGAUGAGAUGUUGGGUACAUUCCGCAUCGAGAUGGCGGCCAUGCUAGGGGCGCGCACGAUGACAUUCAGGGAGUUCCGAGCUUGUGGAGCUCUAGAAUAUCAUGGGUCUCGGUGUUGGAUUAAUGUCUAAGCCCAUAACUAUAAUUGGUAAGAUUUGACUCGACCCGGCAUGGUCCAUUUGGGUUGCAUGGCAUCAUGCAUUUGGAUAGACUAAAAUGAGAGAAAUAACACUUAAGGUUUGUUAAUAUAUUAUAAGUUCUAAUAUAUUAAUAAGGUUAUUUAAUUAGUAUUGAUCAAGGAUUAAUUUGGAAUUAAUUAAGUGAUCAAAAAGGAGACUAAUUAAAUAUAUGGGUUAAUUGUGUAAAUCAUUCAUUCUUAUAUAUGUGGGCUUGUGAUCCAAGAUUCCUUAUGUUGGACUAAGUCCAUGGGGUGACCCAUGGAUACUCCAUGGAGGUUAAAAUCCAUGGAGCAUAAGGAAUGGGUAAAGUCAUGAGUUACAUGGUGUAACCCUAAUAGCCACCAUAUAAAAGAAUCCCAUGGCUCAAGAAAUCAUGCAUUAUGUGUGAGUGUGAGGGCUAGACGAUUUCAAGGAGUGUUCAAGUUUCUCUCAAGUUAUUCUAAGUGUAUUUGAUGUUGUGUGAACCAUUUGAGGUGUCACACUUGGGGCACUAGGCACUCAAGCUUCAUGAAGAUAAUCUACAUCAAAGAGGAAUGUAAUUCUAACUUGAUAUAUUCAUAUGAAUCAUGUUAUUAUGCUAGUUAGGAUGAAUACCUUGGAAAGUUCAUAUUUGCAUGUAUAAUAGAGAAAACAUAGAUCCAAGGUAUUUAGGGUUGCAUGUACACUUAGGAGUGUUAGAAUGCUCAAAACCCAACAGUGGUAUCAGAGCCUAGGCUUGUUUUCUUGUUAUACUUGCAAAAGUAGCUGAAAAAUCGAGUUUUGAUGUUGUCUGCCCAGCAGACUCGCCGAGUCCAAGGCAAAAUGCAUCCAACUCGCCGAGUUGGUUCGUGCACUCGACGAGUUGGACCCCCAGACAGCAUAAAUUCGACUUUUUUUGGUGGAAUUGGACUAGGAACAUUACCCUAAGAUGUUUUUGGACUUAUAAACUUGUUUUUGAUGUGGUAAUGUUCAUGCUAAUCCAAUUUCAAAGAUAAUUGUCAAUAGAUUCAUGUUUUGUAUUAGUUUAAGGUUUAGACUAAUUACAUGAAAAAGUUUGAUUUGAAUUAUCUUGUUCUUAUGAGUUGCUUAGAUUAAUAGAAAAGUUGAGUGAAAUAGUUGUUUUCAAUCCAAAUUAAUCUAAGAGUUGAUUCUAAAAUGUGUUUUUGUAACUUGUCCUCAAGUUAUAUGAAAAGUCACAUUUAAGUUUCAUAAAACUCAUAAAAGUUGGCAAUGGUUACAAAAAUGAAGAGUCUUGUCCUCAAGUUAUGGAGGUUCAAGAGUCACUUCAUUAAGUAAUAAAAUGUGUAACCUUAAUUAAUUCCAUAAGUUACAAAAUAAAGAAAAGUUACAUUCUUUUAUUAGUUUAAAGUCUUCCAUAACUUGUCCUCAAGUUAUGGAACUUGAAGAGUUUUUGGAUUAAAACUACUUUAAACACAUAAGUUAUGGAAUUAAUUAGUUUUGAAUAGUUUCAAAACUUGCCCUCAAGUUUUGGAAUUUGAAAAGUUUUCACUUAUGAAUACUUUAAUUCCAAGUUAGCCCUUAGAAUUUUAAAAGUUAAAAUUCAACCCUUAUACUUUAUAAUAUUAUAAGUUAAUAAUAUAUAUAUGUAUAAGAGUAAAGUCAGUCUUACCGUUAGUAGGCCUCAUUCACGAAGCCGGUCUAUAAGGGGGGUAUAAGGUUACUGUCUAUAAAAUGGCAGUUUAAUGGGUGUCCACUCUCACCCACCGCUUCCUUGACUGGUGGAGGGUCAUUAGCCGAACGGGUAGGACAAGGACUAUAAUUCUCCCUUCAUUAAAAUUAUUAAUGAUAAAUACUAAGUAACUAAACCUUUUAUAAAUACCCAAUCUUAGUUACUUAGGAAAAUGUGAAUUUGGUGCUAACCCAUGAAAUUACACUUUGCACUUUGCUUAAGUCAUUAGUGGAGCAUGUGUGGUUAACCGGCACACUAACCUGGACUUAACAAGGUAGGCAAAGGGUAACUUAAUAUUUAUCAUAGUAUCGAUGGAGCGUGUGUGGUUAACCGGCACAUCGAUUAAGGGGUAAAUAUUAAGGGUACCCAGUAUAUUUGCAUGGUUACUUCACACCUUGUUUUGUAAUCCUCAGCAUUCCAGUCACAAAACCUGAAAGCCACACUCGAGAUUGAAACAUGCCAUUGAAAAGUUCAAUGAAUCUCAAAGAUCUAGGAGUUUCAAAAGCUAAUGAUACAUUUCGUUUAUCUUGGUGGAAAUUGGUGAAUCGUCGUUCACCUACCUUCAAAUAUUUUAUAGCUUGGAUUACGACAUACCUAUUAUAUGUUAUAAAGUAGUUUGUUGGGUCCUAGCCUUAAUAUUUCAUAUUGGGUGUCAUAUUCAGGACUUUAAAUCAACUAUCUUGAAUAUCUCGUUCUCCCAAAAAGAUAUCUGGUCUAGACAUUUAUGAUCUUCCCAAAUCUCUUAAAACAAGCUUUCCUAAAUAAAGAUGAUGUCCCAUGGAUAUCGUAAUUCUUUCACCUCCUCCAAUUAUUCGCCCUAACCCACAAGUUCCUAAAAAAUUUAAGGUCACUCAAGCCCUAUUGGCAAGGCAAGAUCUAGGUGUGGUCACAUCUUGGAGAUGUAGUCACAUAUUGACAAGCCGGUAGAGUUGGGUGUCAAAGUCUUGAGAAAGUUGGUGGCUCAACUAAUUUCUAAGUCACAUAGUGAGAUCUUUUGGGAAUCCUAUGAAACAGACUAAGACAAGACCCUUGAUGAUCUUAUCUAUUUGCUAAGAUCAACUUCCUAAAACAUUAUGGACAUUGACAAUAAUGACAUUGGAUAUCCAGUAAAGCUCUCUCUUCCCAAUGGAAAGGGAUCGGCCAUAGUCAACUCGGUUGACCAAAUGGUAAAGAGAGAGGCUAAGUCUGAGAUAGUCCCAUUAUCAAGGGUCCAUAGGUAACUAUUGCCAAAGGAAGGGGCAUUGGUUGCGAAGCUGCCAAAUUUACCUAAGGAUGUUAAAGUCAAUAAGCUUGGCUCUACUUCAGGUAAAGUCUAUUGUCUAACUCUAUUAAGUACAUGCUGAUUUUGAUCGCGAAGAUGGAUUUCAAUCGCAUGGUUCGGUGAUCAGAAUUUUGGGCUAUUACUUAAGAGUUAUGGUAUUUAUAUUGCUUAGGAAUAGAUAACAACAAGGUUUUCAUAUGGAUUAUAAGGAUAAGUUUUUCCGCAAAGUUUUAAAAUAAAAGAAAAAGGUUUUGAUUUUAUUUGUUUUAAGUAUCCUUACAAUGGAAUUUGUGAAAAGUUGUUGCUUAUAAGAUUCCAUUGAUAGCAAUAUUGGAAAAAUCGAUUUGAUUCUUUCGGUUGUGGUAGUGUCUAAUAUUACCAAAUAAGGAAAGAUUCUGAUCACCCAAAGUUCAAUUGGACCGAAACUUGGAAUCAUGGAAGUUGUAUAGUAUGAUGAAUGAGAACUUUCAUCUUGGAAAAAUUAAGACUAAUUCCUUAUGUGAAUAAGGAAAGGACUAAGGGAUUGAAUACACAUUCUUGUGCACUGGUUAAGUCCACCACAAAAGAUCAAGAAGACUAUUCGUCAUGAUUUACUUAAGUUUGGUAAAUAUGGUUAUACUUAUAAGUUUAAGUAUAAGUCUGUAGCAUUGGAGAAGUUUCAAUGUGAGACAGAACGAAUAAGAAGAAUCAAAGUAUGGCAGAAAGAUAAAAGUUUCUCAAAUCUGAAAAGAUGGGAGAGUACUUUAGUAUCAUGUUUAUGAUCAUCUUAAUGAUUAAGAUACCAUAUCACAAUUGGUCCUCUAAAGUCAUCUUAGUGCAUUCUUAUGACUAAGAAGAGGAGUCAUGAAUUGUUGAAAUGGUUAAAUCAAAAGGAUGAGUCAUACUUCGUUCCAAAACAAUUCUUAGAGUCAUACUCCAAGAUUGUAACUUGAGUGACAUAUCUUAAAGAGGGUUUGUUAACACUAGUCAAAUGUAAGAGUAAAAGGUUAUCUACUCUUGUACAUUUGAAAUUGGUAAGUUGUGAUGUUUUGGAUAAAACAUAGACCAACUUAGGCCAAUUGUGUAAAGUGUUUGUCUUGAUUAGAAUCCACACUAUCUCUUGAAUAUCUGACAAGAAAGUCUUAUAUUUCAAAAGGACAGUGGGAGUCUUACAGGUCUUGAAAGUCUCAAGGACUUAAUCAAGAAUAAAACCUGAAGUUCUUCACUAGCACACGACUUGAGGUUCAUAACCUAUCGUGUUGACAUAUUAUGUGCCCAUUCCAGUUAAAGUUAGCUUUGCAUAUGAGGUCUUAGAGUUCUCAAUUGGUUGCACAACAACUUGGAAGCAAUGGCAGGUCCUUGAGCUGCCAAGUGGCAAGAAAUUAAGAUUGAGUUCAAUCCAUAUGAGUUUGGAUUUGUCAUUAACCUUUUCUUGUGACUAUGGUUUUGACAAUUCCCAUGGAUAAGAACACAUACACCAUUAAAUUUAAGUGUCAUAAGGUUUCUCUCCGAUUCAUGAAAAUGAUGGUGAGGAAACACUUUCACUAAGUAGAUUUUAGCUAGAUAGCAAUUGUGAUAUUUGCAUUCUCAAAGUCGUUAGUGGAGCGUGUGUGGUUAACCGGCACACUAACAUGGACUUGUGAGAAGUGGCAAAGGUCUAAACAAUCGAGACUAUGAUUACGGCAUCCCUUUUCAUAGUUCUUAAAAUUGUUUAGACACACCUGUGAGCUAUCUAAGAUAAGGUGUAUGAUAUUGAUAAAGUUUUAUCAAAGCAAUCUAGUAUCAGAAAUCUGAACUUUGGUAAGAAAGUCAAUAAAGUAUUGUUUUUUAGAAGUCCAGCUGAUUUCUGAGUACAUGUCAAAGCUAGUGGGAGCAUAAGUGUUAUGCUAAUAAUCAUCAUGUUAGUGGGAGCAUGAUAAUUAUGAUAAGUAUUGCAAGUUAGCAAUGUUAAUUAUAGAAAACAAAAGUUUCAAUUGGGAAAAAGUUGUUUUGCUAUAAUUAAGGGAGAGGAAAUUAUGCUUCAUCUCAAAUCUAUAAGCUUAGAUCGUGAGGUUUUAAUCAUUUAGUCAAGGAUAUAUAUGAAUUUCAUGUUGGAAUGGCUCAACAUAAGGAAAUUCUGUAUAUGGGUCCAUUAUUUGCGUUCUAAAAUUCGAUUAUGAUUACGGCAUCCCUUUUCAUAAUCUGAAUUAUGAGAACUUGGCAAAUUGAAAUGGAAAUAUUAUAGCAAAAGACUGGUUUAGUCUUUAUGUGAGACAUCAUGAAUCGUGUCCCAUAUGCUUCGGAUAUAGGAUUGAUUACAUGUACUAUAUUCAUCCGUUCUAAAAUUUUCCAAAUGCUUGGGGCAUUAAGAAGGGAAAAGGUCUAAAAUUGGAUAUGACUAAAAGGAUUAAGCAAUUGUUGAGGACAAUCUAAGGUCUACCAUAUAUUGGUUUCUCAAGGACAGUUGGAAGUAUAGUGAUAAUUCUGGAAGGACCAUAUUGACAUAAUCUGUAAGGAGGCAACUCUUGUUCAGAAGUGAUAGUCAAAAUGGAAUCUGGAAAUGUUUCAAAGUUAGAAAUUAUUAAAUCUGUGUAAGAUUAGGAAACUUAAUGCAAGAAGGAUGUUUCCAAGGAGUUGAUCUCCUUUGGAAUGCUCUGUAAUGAUUGUUGUCAAGUCUUUCUGACUUUGUGCAUAAUCAUUACAAGAGGAUCAAUGCAUAUAAGUUUAGAAUCUAACAGAUUUCAGUAAAUGGCAUGAAUUUGGAAUUCUUGCAUUUGCAGUAAGGAUUUGGGAGUGUGAAAAGAGAAUCAUUGAAGUUAUGUUCAAUUGAUCUAGUUCACAAAGUAAAGAUCAUAGACAAACAUAGUAUGCAUACUUGGUGUGUGGCAUGACUAGUGUUUAAGAAAACAUAGUGUACAUGCUUGGAGCAUGGGACAACUAUUGUUUUAAAUUCAAGAAUAAAGUUGAUAGCUGAAACAGUAUACAAUGAAUAAUGUGUAAUCAUAUGGUGAUAAAUAAAAGGUGUUUUAUUUAUGUUCAAAGGUUUUGAUACCAUAUUGGAUUCAAUUAUUUUUGUGUUUCACUUUGCAUUUUUUAACUUCCAGAAUAACUAGGUCAUUGUUAUGGAUGACUAAGUUGUUCAAACCAUCCACAGUCGGUCAUAUGUUGGAAGUUUAUAUGAAUCAAGAUUUUCAUGGGUUGGCUUGUAGAGGUCUAAGGUGUUGGACAAAGGGCUACAACACUCAUGAGUGCUCAUAAGUUCUGAGUAUUGGAUUCAACCCGCGCUCAUUGGAAUCACUUCAUGGAUUUUAUCACGAGUGAUCAUGAGACGAU